UGGUGAUGAUGAUGGUGGCGGUGGUGAUGAUGAUGAUGGUGGUGUGAUGAUGAUGAUGGUGAUCAUCAUCAUUAUCAUCAUCAUCAUCAUCAUCACAA
rnacentral:pre_miRNA from 1 species